rnacentral:tRNA from 1 species
GCAUUGAUAGCUUAAAUGACAAAGCAUUAGUCUUGUAAACUGAAGACGAGGGUUUAAACCCCUACCAACGCU